GCUGGGCACAGUGGCGCAGGCCUGUAAUCCCAGCAAUUUGGGAAGCUGAGGCAGGAGGAUUGCAAGUUCAAAGCCAGCCUCAGUAAAAGGGAGGCGCUAAGCAAUUCAGUGAGACCCCGUCUCUA
rnacentral:sRNA from 1 species